rnacentral:lncRNA from 1 species
GAGGGCCCGUUCUGACUUCCAUUGUUGGAAUCUUCCCAAAUGAAAAUAUCUUACACAUGCAAUAAUAGAGUUAGCAGAUAAACACAGUCCCAGAUACAGAAAGAGAAUUUCUUUACAUUUCUAUCGCCUUCAUCUUCAAACUUGCGUUUGUAAGUAAAGUAGAGAAUUGAGGCGAAAAGCAUUGAGCCAGUUUCACAGUGAUGAGGAUUAUAUUUACUGAGCUUCAAAAAAAAAGUGGAGUAAUGCCUAAUUCUGAAAAGACAGCUUUUGCUUAGCAGAGAGUCCUUUGUAACAUCAGUAAGUAUGAUCCAUUGGGGUGUGGAUGUUUUCCUUCAUGAGAGGAAGUGACCGCUAUUCUUUCUAGAAGGCUAAUGCUAAAGAUUCUUCCAGUGAGUUCAGAAGAUGGCUGAGUAUCAAUACGGCCAUGAAUGCAUGCAGAAGAAAGGAUUUUACUACCCAAAGCAAAUGAUGAUGAUGAUGAUGAUGAUGAUGAUGAUGUUGGGCGCCUAAAAUUUGCACGUGAUUUUAAAAGCAAAAAUUCAUUGUGAAAGAUCUGGGUAUGAAUAGUUUGUACCUGCUGAAACAGACAGGCAUCCUGUGCUACUAUAAGGAAGAGAAAAAAUCUGUACCAUAUUGCGGUAUUUCCAUCUCUGAAAACACUGAUCUCUUCUACCUGUAGCGAACAUUCUGGUACACUGACUGACCAAGGCAUAAAGGAGAAAAUGAUGUGGCUGCCUCCUGGCUGUCAGUCAGCCCCUAAGCCACUCACCCAUCGGAAGGCUUUGAGGCUGCCUGGGCUCCUGAUUUAACUUCCUUCUCAGUUGCCGACUCUGCCUGCCCCCCCUUCGCCUUGCUUUCAUUCCAUUUCGGAAAACAACUAUUUUUACAUAAACUACAAAGUUACAGCCAGGAGCACGUGCGGCAGAGACAGAUAGCCUCCGGUUGCCCAGGGACUUCUCAUUUUAUCUUUGCGCAGACCCAGCACGGCCUGCCAGGUACAACUAAUGUAACGAGGACUCCAGCGUCUCCAUCGUGCCCGCAGCCUUGCCAGCGCCCGGAUCCCCGCGUUCGUACUCCGGAGCUGCUAGACGGUGCGGGGAGGUUCUGGAAAUCCGUCUGCUCCCUUUGAUUCCAGGGUGAAAGAGCAUUAAAGCCUCCUCACGGCCCCAAGAUCCACUUUCUCCGCAAGUGCGUGUUUGUAACAUCAACGCGCGGCGGGGAGCUUUAGUUCGUUCACGGCUAGAGGUGAAACUCACAGGACAAGGAGAUUCGGAACAAGUCUG